ensembl:lncRNA
GUUCCAGAUUCAAGGUCUCCUUUCAGGAAAAGAGGUCAUUCCACCUUCAUCUAUAAGAUGACAUUCUAGCUCAAUCAGCUGCAGCACUACUUAUUUAAGACAAGAGAAGAAGGUGAAAGGAGAACAAGGCAAUUACAAGGACAUAAAUACCACAUUUCUAUCUGUGGAGGAAGUGCUGCAUAAGAAACGUGCUCAGAGAUAGGAGCUCAGUGCCCAAGAGGAACAAGGACAGACCUCACACAAUGACACAUCCUAGAUAAGUAUCACCUUAAACAAUGACGUUGGGACUUCUUCCCUAAUCAAUCAUAUCUGGCUUCCAAAUUUAAAUA